rnacentral:lncRNA from 1 species
GUCUCAGCUCGAGCAUUCCUAGCGCCAACACGCCCUCAGGUAAAGGUGGAAGUAAAUGGCCACGCUGUAUUGACAGAGCAGGUAGAUGAAACUCAAGAGAAAAGGUGUGGAUAAAUGAAACUAGCCCAUGAUGAACCUGUUUUCUCCGUGACCACAAUAUUAACCAGGAUGAAUGGCGGUGGCAGUGGGCCUGCAUCACAGGUUGCAGCAGAUGUUCUCAAUAUUUCUAUUAAAAUUUCCUUAUUUCCAUAUGCAAGAGGAGCCCCAGAGCUGCAUCCUUAUGGUAGCUACCAUGCCGUGAUGUAAGCUGCCAUUCACUGGGGAGCUUUGGCAAUAGAAUUGGCUAGAUCAGGAAGCCUAUGUCAACUAUGGAACAACAACUUGCAGCUCAUCUCUAUUGAUGAUGGAAUCUCGCUAUGUCACCAGGCUGGAGUGCAGUGGCGCAACCUCGGCUCAGCGCAACAUCCGCCUCCCGGGUUCAAGUGAUUCUCCUACCUCAGCCUCCUGAGUAGCUGGGAUUACAGGAAUCUAAUGACCAUUGAACUGUGGCCAUGACUUCAAUUACAAGUAUUUUCUUCACUAAUGUCAGACUGUGGGCCUUUGUAUAUACACUUUUAACAAACUUUUUGGAAGUGCAAUACAUAUCGCAACAACUUCUCAAUGCUGAAUCAUAGUAUUGGAAGACAUUUUAAGCAACAAUUAAACUCAACUUAUUUACUACCAAUAAUGUACAUAAGUCAGCUGAAGUGAGGAUAACAUGAAUAGCACAAAUACAUUAUGAUUGCUGCCUGGCCAACAGUAAUUAUAAGAAACUGUCAGUUUUGAGAUGUGUCUUGAUUUCAGAGAUGUUAAAAAAGUUUUGGCUGUAGUUAUGCCACAGACAUGACCAAAGAGAGAGCUUUGUCACAGAUGAGCAAAGGUGAAACAGUCGCAAAUGGAAUUCCAAGAAACAUUCUAUCAUCAGGUAUUAUCUACUGCUGUCUGCAGAAUUCAGACAUGGAGGGCUCAAUGGUGUCCCCUGGUCUUUGGAACAUUCUGUAUUUUAAUGAUCAUGAUACACUGCCUCUAGGACUGGGACAGAUAGCCACUGAGUACCUGCUUCAAAUCACCCUGCACGUUUUCUCUUUGGAAAGAUAAGCACUGGAGAACCAUCUCGUUACCUUCAGCAGAAAUGGAAACAAAUCAAGACAUUAAGAAUGCCGCAGUGGACAGCAGUUAUGCAAGGUUCAGCAGAGGAAGUUUUCAAGAUGGUGUGCCUCACUAGCCAGAAAUCAGAAAAGAUCGAAGCUAGCCUUUUCAUCUCAGCUGCUCCUUAAAUCAGUGCAACCCCUCCAAAUUAAUGUGAAUUGAAACUUGCAUUGCUUUUCAACUUAAUUGAAUACUUACUAUAUGUGAACCACUGCACAAAAUAGGGGAAGAAGAUGUGGGAGACAAAGAUGUGGAGCCUGUCUUCAAUAAAUUUACAGUUAGUUUCAGGGUACAUUGUUUUUCUUCUGCUGUUAAUUAGGUGUAUCCCCAAGACAAUAAAUACAUGAAUGGAAAAGUAUAUUCUGUGUUUUAAGUCUCUUUAAUAAAAAACAAAACAAAAUCCAAAAAAACUCCUAACAUGGCAACUCAGGACAUUUUAAUCCUUUUUUUUGUUGUUGGGCUUCUGAUAGGAUCCAUUUUAUUGAUUCCAUAAAUAUUUAGUAGACUUUAGACAUAUUAAUACAUUGUAGUUUGAGUUAAUUUGCAUUAAAUUCUGUUUUUUUCCCCUUAGGUAUAGAUUGUCUGUUGGAAAAAUAUAUUGCUUGUGGAUUUCUUGGGGAGUGGGAAGGUGAAUUAUACCUGUUGUCUCUACAGUCCACUACCUUCCACACCCUAGGGCAGUGGUCCCCAACCUUCUUGGCACCAGGGAUCAGUUUCCUGGAAGACAAUUUUUCUGUGGAUGGUGUGGGGAUGGUUUUGGGAUGGAACUGUUCCACCUCAGAUCAUCAGGCAUUAGUUAGGCUCUCAUAACGAGUGCGCAGCCUAGAUCCCUCACAUGCACAGUUCACAGUAGGGUUUGCGCUGCUAUGAGAAUCUAAGGCUGCCACUGAUCUGACAGGAGGCAGAACUCAGGUGGCAAUGCUUACUGGCCCACUGCUCACCUCUUGCUGUGCGGCCUGGUUCCUAAUAGGCCAUGGACCCCCACAGACGGGUACUAGUCUGCAGCCUGUGGACCCCAGCCCUAGGGGCCUGCCAUUCUGAGUGAGUUAUUAGCAUGAAGAAGAGGAAGAUCUGGAUCAAACGUGGGUGAUGGUACUCAGAGACCCAAGAUAGGAUAGGGAUGGAACAAAAUCCAUCUGGGCAACGGCUCUAUGAAAAUUUGGCUAAGUAAUUAUUUCAGUAUUCAUUGUAUUCAUUGUCCUUCGUGUUCCAUAAGUUAAAUGACUGUCUAAUUUUUCCAAAAAUUUAUUUCUGACUUGAGAAUAAGUGUGUCAUGAUUUUCCCAGUGUAAAGACACUGAUAUAACUGUAGAUACCAGACAUUUUAUGUAGUGUCUAUGACACAUUUUAGUAUGUAUGAGCCAACAAUAGACAUGUCUUUGUCUUGAGGAGUGUCCAUCUGAAUUGAAAAUGUGUCAGCUUUUUUUUAACAUCAUCAACAGACUUCUUAAUUAAGCUGCCAAUACAUACUGCCAAUAGCACUGUGUGCUGUCUGAGAAAUGCAUUGUGUAAGUGCUAUUUCCAUCUUAUUAAAUAAACAAUGUUGCUCUGUAUAAACUGGAUUUAAAGUGUUCUUUGAAUGAGGCAUUAUAUUGCUCCAUAAAUAAUGUGAUGUGAAUUCUCAUAUGAUCCCUUUUAACUUAAUUUCUAAAAAAAUAUUAUUUGCUCCUCAGUAAGGAAUAGCUCUAAUUGGACUGGUAACUUUAGUGAUAUGAUUUGUCUGUAACAGGCUGAAUCGCCCCACUCCCAAACUCCUGGUCGUGAUACUGGAUAUUUGUUAUGCCACUUUUAGUUUGCAUGAGGUAUCUUCCAGGAAGUAUUAGUUAUUAACUUGUGUUCUACUAAACUGUAGAUAUUUAUUUCCUGUUCUGGAAGAUUUCUUGGAGUGUCCAUCUGUGCAUUCCUGGUGCCUAGUGUAGUCUUGCUAAUGGAAUAGCACCUUUAUUGGUGCUACUUAGGGGUUGGUAGCUUACAAUCAAUCUACUUGGAACGUAUCCAAAUAAACUGGAUAUUUUUAUACA